rnacentral:rRNA from 1 species
GACGAACGCUGGCGGCGUGCUUAACACAUGCAAGUCGAACGGAAAGGCCCUGCUUGCCGGGUACUCGAGUGGCGAACGGGUGAGUAACACGUGGGUGAUCUGCCCUGCACUUCGGGAUAAGCCUGGGAAACUGGGUCUAAUACCGGAUAGGAGCCAUUUUUAGUGUGAUGGUUGGAAAGUUUUUUCGGUGUAGGAUGAGCUCGCGGCCUAUCAGCUUGUUGGUGGGGUAAUGGCCUACCAAGGCGGCGACGGGUAGCCGGCCUGAGAGGGUGGACGGCCACAUUGGGACUGAGAUACGGCCCAGACUCCUACAGGAGGCAGCAGUGGGGAAUAUUGCACAAUGGGCGCAAGCCUGAUGCAGCGCCGCCGCGGGGGGGAGGACGGCCUUCGGGUUGUAAACGCCUUUCGCUAGGGACGAAGCUUUUUGUGACGGUACCUAGAUAAGAAGCACCGGCUAACUACGUG